rnacentral:rRNA from 1 species
AUUGAACGCUGGCGGCAGGCCUAACACAUGCAAGUCGAGCGGAUGAAGGGAGCUUGCUCCUGGAUUCGGCGGCGGACGGGUGAGUAAUGCCUAGGAAUCUGCCUGGUAGUGGGGGAUAACGUCCGGAAACGGGCGCUAAUACCGCAUACGUCCUGAGGGAGAAAGUGGGGGAUCUUCGGACCUCACGCUAUCAGAUGUGCCUAGGUCGGAUUAGCUAGUUGGUGGGGUAAAGGCCUACCAAGGCGACGAUCCGUAACUGGUCUGAGAGGAUGAUCAGUCACACUGGAACUGAGACACGGUCCAGACUCCUACGGGAGGCAGCAGUGGGGAAUAUUGGACAAUGGGCGAAAGCCUGAUCCAGCCAUGCCGCGUGUGUGAAGAAGGUCUUCGGAUUGUAAAGCACUUUAAGUUGGGAGGAAGGGCAGUAAGUUAAUACCUUGCUGUUUUGACGUUACCAACAGAAUAAGCACCGGCUAACUUCGUG